UUAAAUUCUUAUAUUUUUUCCCUUUCAAAGUUAACCAAAAUUUUUAAAUCGAAUGUUUUACCACGCUCCUAGAUGUUUUAAAUUGACUUUUAAAUGCUAAAUACUACUUUCGUAGAAAUCAUUUUGCAUUUUUACCUCAUAAAUAUUAAUUUUUUUAGAAAUGAAAAUGUGAUCUUCGAUUGAAUAUGAUGAUUUUGGAGACAUAAGGAAAUAAGGGAGGAAGUAACGUUCAGCAAUUUUCCUUUGUGCCUCCUUUCAUUGUAUACGAACGUAGCGACAUCUACCGAGGCUAUGAGAAGUUAUUUCAGUUCAAAAUUUUAGAUCUGACACCCACCAGGUCCAUGAAGAUGAUGGAUUUUUGGCACCAUAAAGUUCCAUAUUUGGGAUACAACCAAAGCCAAGACCUUACCACCAGGACACAGCAGUUAUUUUUCGAGACGAAGACAGCAAAAUACAGAGAAGAAAGGAAAAUUAGCUGUACUGAAUAACAACAGUUUCAAACCAAGCUUUCAAUGUAUGCAAAGUGUGCUAAGCCAAUUACUUGUAACAAAAACUGGACCUAGAUAUUUUUCCUGCAACUAAUGCUUUCAUAGACGUUUGUGAACAAUAUAUUCAUGAAAUGGAAUUUCUUUGCGAAAGUUUUGUAAAUAUUUAAUGCACAUGGAGUAAAAAGUAUAAAACGUUAAUAUUUUAUAAGAGUGAUAUUUUU